rnacentral:rRNA from 1 species
CUACGGGUGGCUGCAGUAAGGAAUAUUGGGCAAUGGACGCAAGUCUGACCCAGCCAUGCCGCGUGAAGGAUGAAGGCCCUCUGGGUUGUAAACUUCUUUUAUCUGGGGCGAAAGGCGGUUAUUCUUAGCCGUUUGACAGUACCAGAGGAAUAAGCACCGGCUAACUCCGUGCCAGCAGCCGCGGUAAUACGGAGGGUGCAAGCGUUAUCCGGAUUCACUGGGUUUAAAGGGUGCGUAGGAGGAUCUGUAAGUCAGAGGUGAAAUCCCCGAGCUUAACUUGGGAACUGCCUUUGAUACUAUAGAUCUUGAAUAUCGUGGAGGUAAGCGGAAUAUGUCAUGUAGCGGUGAAAUGCAUAGAGAUGACAUAGAACACCAAUUGCGAAGGCAGCUUGCUACACGAUGAUUGACACUGAGGCACGAAAGCGUGGGGAGCAAACAGGAUUAGAUACCCCGGUAGUC